rnacentral:rRNA from 1 species
CAAAUUUCUGCCCUAUCAACUUUCGAUGGUAGAGUAGUGGUCCUACCAUGGUUUCAACGGGUAACGGGGAAUUAGGGUUCUAUUCCGGAGAGGGAGCCUGAGAAACGGCUACCACAUCCAAGGAAGGCAGCAGGCGCGCAAAUUACCCAAUCCCGACACGGGGAGGUAGUGACAAUAAAUACUGAUACAGGGCUCUUUUGGGUCUUGUAAUUGGAAUGAGUACAAUUUAAAUCCCUUAACGAGGAACAAUUGGAGGGCAAGUCUGGUGCCAGCAGCCGCGGUAAUUCCAGCUCCAAUAGCGUAUAUUAAAGUUGUUGCAGUUAAAAAGCUCGUAGUUGAACCUUGGGCCUGGCUGGCCGGUCCGCCUCACCGCGUGCAACUGGUCCGGCCGGGCCUUUCCUUCUGGGGAGCCGAUGCCCUUCACUGGGUGUGUCGGGGAACCAGGACUUUUACUUUGAACAAAUUCAGAGUGUUCAAAAGCAGGGCCUAUGCUCGAAUACAUUAGCAUGGAAUAAUAGAAUAGGACGUGUGGGUU